UACGGAGGUGGCAAGCGUUGUUCGGAUUUAUUGGGUGUAAAGGGUAUGUAGGUGGUUAUAUAAGUCGGAUGUGAAAUGCUCUGGCUCAACCAGAGAAAUGCAUUUGAUACUGUAUAACUUGAGUUCAGGAUAGGAAAGCGGAAUUCCCGGUGUAAGAGUGAAAUCUGUAGAGAUCGGGAGGAACACCAGUGGCGUAGGCGGCUUUCUGGACUGAUACUGACACUGAAAUACGAAAGCUAGGGGAGCAAAC
rnacentral:rRNA from 1 species